AUACGGAGGGGGCUAGCGUUGUUCGGAAUUACUGGGCGUAAAGCGUCCGCAGGCGGAUAAUUAAGUUAGAGGUGAAAUCCCAGGGCUCAACCCUGGAACUGCCUUUAAAACUGGUUAUCUAGAGUUAUGGAGAGGUAAGUGGAAUUCCUAGUGUAGAGGUGAAAUUCGUAGAUAUUAGGAGGAACACCAGAGGCGAAGGCGGCUUACUGGACAUAUACUGACGCUGAGGGACGAAAGUGUGGGGAGCGAACGGGAUUAGAAACCCCAGUAGUCC
rnacentral:rRNA from 1 species